GCAGACACACUCUGUUCUUUGCUGCUCUCUCCAGUUUGGGACUUUUUCUGUCUGCUACAUGAACAUGCAGAAUGUAACACUUACUGGCUUGUGAAAAGGCUGGUGCUACUAUGUUCUGCUACAGUAAA